rnacentral:rRNA from 1 species
GUCAAGUCAUCAUGGCCCUUAUGUCCAGGGCUACACACGUGCUACAAUGGGUGGUACAAAGCGAGGCGAGCCUGAGAGGGCAAAGCGAAUCGCAGAAAGCCGCCCGUAGUCCGGAUUGAAGUCUGAAACCCGACUUCAUGAAGCUGGAAUCGCUAGUAAUCGCGCAUCAGCAUGGCGCGGUGAAUACGUUCCCGGGCCUU